rnacentral:rRNA from 1 species
AGCGAACGCUGGCGGCAGGCCUAACGCAUGCAAGUCGAACGAACUCUUCGGAGUUAGUGGCGGACGGGUGAGUAACACGUGGGAACGUGCCUUUAGGUUCGGAAUAACUCAGGGAAACUUGUGCUAAUACCGAAUGUGCCCUUCGGGGGAAAGAUUUAUCGCCUUUAGAGCGGCCCGCGUCUGAUUAGCUAGUUGGUGAGGUAAAGGCUCACCAAGGCGACGAUCAGUAGCUGGUCUGAGAGGAUGAUCAGCCACAUUGGGACUGAGACACGGCCCAAACUCCUACGGGAAGCAGCAGUGGGGAAUCUUGCGCAAUGGGCGAAAGCCUGACGCAGCCAUGCCGCGUGAAUGAUGAAGGUCUUAGGAUUGUAAAAUUCUUUCACCGGGGACGAUAAUGACGGUACCCGGAGAAGAAGCCCCGGCUAACUUCGUG